GGGGGGUGCGAGCGUUGUCCGGAAUCACUGGGCGUAAAGGGCGCGUAGGUGGUCUGAUAAGGGUGUGGUGAAAGCCCGGGGCUCAACCCCGGGUCGGCCGUGCCGACUGUUGGACUAGAGUGCUGUAGGGGCAGGCGGAAUUCCGGGUGUAGCGGUGGAAUGCGUAGAGAUCCGGAGGAAGACCGGUGGCGAAGGCGGCCUGCUGGGCAGUUACUGACACUGAGGCGCGACAGCGUGGGGAGCAAACAGGAUUAGAUACCCUGGUAGUCCACGCCGUAAACGAUGGGUACUAGGUGCCUGGGGGAGCGACCCCUUGGGUGCCGGCGCUAACGCAGGAAGUACCCCGCCUGGGGAGUACGACCGCAAGGUUGAA
rnacentral:rRNA from 1 species